UACAGAGGGUGCGAGCGUUGUUCGGAAUUACUGGGCGUAAAGCGCGCGCAGGCGGCCUUUUAAGUCUGCUGGUGAAAUGCCGGGGCUCAACCCCGUGCCCGCCACAGAUACUGGGAGGCUGGAGACGAGUAGAGGCAAGCGGAAUUCCGGGUGUAGCGGUGGAAUGCGUAGAGAUCCGGAAGAACACCGGAGGCGAAGGCGGCUUGCUGGGCUCGGUCUGACGCUGAGGCGCGAAAGCGUGGGGAUCAAACAGG
rnacentral:rRNA from 1 species